rnacentral:snRNA from 1 species
AAACUCAGAUUUCUCUUCAGCACACAUAAAUCUUUUGACUUUUACUAAAGAUUUCUGUUGAGCUGCAAACCAAGAGCCAGGAACUUCUUUCAGGUCUCCCACAUAGAAGCAGGGGC